rnacentral:rRNA from 1 species
GUGUCAGCAGCCGCGGUAAUACGUAGGUGGCUAGCGUUGCUCGGAAUCACUGGGCGUAAAGCGCACGUAGGCGGAUUGCUAAGUCAGGGGUGAAAUCCCACGGCUCAACCGUGGAAGUGCCUUUGAUACUGGCCGUCUCGAGGGAGGUAGGGGCGUGCGGAACUUCCGGUGGAGCGGUGAAAUGCGUAGAUAUCGGAAGGAACACCGGUGGCGAAAGCGGCGCGCUGGACCUUUACUGACGCUGAGGCGCGAAAGCCAGGGGAGCAAACGGGAUUAGAUACCCCGGUAGUCC